rnacentral:lncRNA from 1 species
GACGCGCACUGUACGGCUGCAUAAGCUGCUCGUAGGACACGUCCAGCAGCUGGUCCAGGCCCACGCCGCGAAAAAAGGUUUACCACAGUGGCUCAAGGAAAAUGGAACCAGAGUAAGGCAGUUUCUACUUGGACUUGGGGAACCAGCAGACUCAUUCAGUUACAAUCAAGAACAAACCGAUUAAAUUGCAUAAAGGUCACUCAAAGGAGCCAAGCCCCUUUGUCAAAUCAGGAGCUCCAUCAGCCAAUCAGGAACCCAGAUGCCAGCGUGGGAGUUUGUCAGUGGAAAUAACAUUGCAUGACUUCCAAGUCUGGUUUCUUCAUUUGCAAGAUAUCAACCCAAGAGGAUUGUGACUGAAAUCAAAUGAGGCACCCAAGUCUAAUAUGAGAAAAACAUCAGAAAAAUUCCAGGAGAGGGACAUUCUACAAAAUACCUGACCAGUACAUCUCAAAAUUGUCACGA